AUUGCGUUUCAAAUAUACUUUUUUUACAACGAGUCUACAAAGGAGUGGUUCAGUUACAACAGACAAUUAAUUCUUGUGUUUUGAACGUUUGGAAUGUACUCUAUUUGGCUCAAUUGAACGCAACGGACGUGAUCGCAAGUCCUUGUUGAACUUCAGUAUAUAUUGACUUUCCCCGUAGGAAGGGAUUGCCAAUAAUUGAAUGUUCGCUUUCUAUUGGUGUGUGAUCUCAAAAUUGCAUGUAUUUGUGAUGGCGAGUGAUCUAAUCCCUUAGGAAAACUUGGGCGACCGCUGUAAUACUUCUCUUUAAAACAGAGGCAGGUUGCGGCAAUAACAGGUCUGUGAUGCCCUCAGAUGUCCCGGGCCGCA
rnacentral:rRNA from 1 species